AGUGAACGCUGGCGGUAGGCCUAACACAUGCAAGUCGAACGGCAGCACAGUAAGAGCUUGCUCUUACGGGUGGCGAGUGGCGGACGGGUGAGGAAUACAUCGGAAUCUACUUUUUCGUGGGGGAUAACGUAGGGAAACUUACGCUAAUACCGCAUACGACCUACGGGUGAAAGCAGGGGAUCUUCGGACCUUGCGCGAUUGAAUGAGCCGAUGUCGGAUUAGCUAGUUGGCGGGGUAAAGGCCCACCAAGGCGACGAUCCGUAGCUGGUCUGAGAGGAUGAACAGCCACACUGGAACUGAGACACGGUACAGACUCCUACGGGAGGCAGAAGUGGGGAAUAUAGGAAAAUGGGCGCAAGACUGAUCCAGCCAUACCGCGUGGGUGAAGAAGGGCUUCGGGUUGUAAAGCCCUUUUGUUGGGAAAGAAAAGCAGCAGGUUAAUACCCCGCUGUUCUGACGGUACCCAAAGAAUAAGCACCGGCUAACUUCGUG
rnacentral:rRNA from 1 species